rnacentral:rRNA from 1 species
AGAGUUUGAUCCUGGCUCAGAUUGAACGCUGGCGGCAUGCCUUACACAUGCAAGUCGAACGGCAGCACGGGGCAACCUGGUGGCGAGUGGCGAACGGGUGAGUAAUGCAUCGGAACGUACCCGGAAUGGGGGAUAACUAUCCGAAAGGAUAGCUAAUACCGCAUAUUCUGUGAGCAGGAAAGCAGGGGAUCUUCGGACCUUGUGCUUCCGGAGCGGCCGAUGUCAGAUUAGCUAGUUGGUGGGGUAAAAGCCUACCAAGGCGACGAUCUGUAGCGGGUCUGAGAGGAUGAUCCGCCACACUGGAACUGAGACACGGUCCAGACUCCUACGGGAGGCAGCAGUGGGGAAUUUUGGACAAUGGGCGCAAGCCUGAUCCAGCCAUGCCGCGUGAGUGAAGAAGGCCUUCGGGUUGUAAAGCUCUUUCGGCCGGGAAGAAAUCGCAUAGGUUAAUACCCUGUGUGGAUGACGGUACCGGAAUAAGAAGCACCGGCUAACUACGUG